rnacentral:rRNA from 1 species
GUCCAGACUCCUACGGGAGGCAGCAGUGGGGGAUAUUGCACAAUGGGGGGAACCCUGAUGCAGCGACGCCGCGUGGGUGAAGAAGCGCCUCGGCGCGUAAAGCCCUGUCAGCAGGGAAGAAAAUGACGGUACCUGAAGAAGAAGCCCCGGCUAACUACGUGCCAGCAGCCGCGGUAAUACGUAGGGGGCGAGCGUUGUCCGGAAUUACUGGGUGUAAAGGGAGCGUAGGCGGGCUUGUAAGUUGAAUGUCUAAUCCACCGGCUCAACCGGUGAUCGCGUUCAAAACUGCAGGUCUUGAGUGAAGUAGAGGCAGGCGGAAUUCCUAGUGUAGCGGUGAAAUGCGUAGAUAUUAGGAGGAACACCAGUGGCGAAGGCGGCCUGCUGGGCUUUAGCUGACGCUGAGGCUCGAAAGCGUGGGGAGCAAACAGGAUUAGAUACCCUCGUA